GACCACUGAGCCAUCUCACCAACCCCGCCCAAUCUCUUCUGAUCUCGGAAGCUAAGCAGGGUCAGGCCUGGUUAGUACUUGGAUGGGAGACUAGAAAUCCGAUCUAGUAGUGA
rnacentral:rRNA from 1 species